GAUGAACGCUGGCGGCGUGCCUAAUACAUGCAAGUCGUACGGAAAGGCCCUUCGGGGUACUCGAGUGGCGGACGGCUGAGUAACGCGUGGGAACGUGCCCCAAAGUGAGGGAUAACGCACCGAAAGGUGUGCUAAUACCGCAUAUGGUCUUCGGAUUAAAGCUGCGGCGCUUUGGGAGCGGCCCGCGUACGAUUAGAUAGUUGGUGAGGUAAUGGCUCACCAAGGCGACGAUCGUUAGCUGGUCUGAGAGGAUGAUCAGCCAGACUGGGACUGAGACACGGCCCAGACUCCUACGGGAGGCAGCAGUAAGGAAUCUUCCACAAUGGGGGCAACCCUGAUGGCGCAACGCCGCGUGCAGGAUGAAGGUUUUCGGAUCGUAAACUGCUUUUAUAAGUGAAGAAUAUGACGGUAACUUAUGAAUAAGGAUCGGCUAACUACGUGCCAGCAGCCGCAGUAA
rnacentral:rRNA from 1 species